rnacentral:rRNA from 1 species
GAUGAACGCUGGCGGCGUGCCUAAUACAUGCAAGUCGAACGAGUUCUCGUUGAUGAUCGGUGCUUGCACCGAGAUUCAACAUGGAACGAGUGGCGGACGGGUGAGUAACACGUGGGUAACCUGCCCUUAAGUGGGGGAUAACAUUUGGAAACAGAUGCUAAUACCGCAUAGAUCCAAGAACCGCAUGGUUCUUGGCUGAAAGAUGGCGUAAGCUAUCGCUUUUGGAUGGACCCGCGGCGUAUUAGCUAGUUGGUGAGGUAAUGGCUCACCAAGGCGAUGAUACGUAGCCGAACUGAGAGGUUGAUCGGCCACAUUGGGACUGAGACACGGCCCAAACUCCUACGGGAGGCAGCAGUAGGGAAUCUUCCACAAUGGACGCAAGUCUGAUGGAGCAACGCCGCGUGAGUGAAGAAGGCUUUCGGGUCGUAAAACUCUGUUGUUGGAGAAGAAUGGUCGGCAGAGUAACUGUUGUCGGCGUGACGGUAUCCAGCCAGAAAGCCACGGCUAACUACGUGCCAGCAGCCGCGGUAAUACGUAGGUGGCAAGCGUUAUCCGGAUUUAUUGGGCGUAAAGCGAGCGCAGGCGGUUUUUUAAGUCUGAUGUGAAAGCCCUCGGCUUAACCGAGGAAGCGCAUCGGAGACUGGGAAACUUGAGUGCAGAAGAGGACAGUGGAACUC